rnacentral:misc_RNA from 1 species
GAUGAAGAACGUAGCGAAAUGCGAUAAGUAAUGUGAAUUGCAGAAUCCAGUGAAUCAUCGAAUCUUUGAACGCACAUUGCACCUCUCGGUAUUCCGGGAGGUAUGCCUGUUCGAGCGUCAUUUGUACCCUCAAGCUCUGCUUGGUGUUGGGUGUUUGUUCCGCCUCUGUGUGUGAACUCGCCUCAAAACAAUUGGCAGCCGGCGUACUUGUUUCGGAGCGCAGCACAUUUUGCGAUCCAGAUCAACGUACAGCGGCAUCCAAGAAGCCUUAUUUAACGCUCUUGACCUCGGAUCAGGUAGGGAUACCCGCUGAACUUAAGCAUAUCAAUAAGCGGAGGA